GUCUAUGGCCAUACCACCCUGAACACGUCCGAUCUCAUCUGAUCUCGGAAGCUAAGCAGGGUCAUGCCUAGUUAGUACUUGGAUGGGAGACUGCCUGGGAAUACCGAGUGCUGUAGGCU
rnacentral:rRNA from 1 species